GAAAGUUAAUCUGAUGUGAGAACUGCUAAUACUCAGUAUAAAAAGAGCUUGAUAUUUCUUGAAAUUAGGAUGAUGAUAUUCUGUCAGUGGUAGCUUGACUGGUUUCCGUGGGGAGACAUUUCUGAAGGGAAACUAAUUCUUAAGGAAUAUCUGCUGUGUGCCAAGCAUUAUUAGAAGCACUGUGCUGUGCUUCUCAUAAUUCACCUGCUGUGAAUAGAUUCACCUGCUGUGUCAAUCCUCAGAACACUGAGACAGAUGUACCCCCAUUUCACUUAAAAUUGUUGAUUUUAUGCGUUUCCUCAGAAUAAUCACUGAAGUUUUAGAGCCAGAAGAAAGCUAGCAACUCAACUUCUGUUAUUUU
rnacentral:lncRNA from 1 species